GGGCCACACAUGCAGCAUAUGCAGUUCUCAGGCUAGGGGUUGAAUUGGAGCUGCAGCUGCCGGCCUACGCCACAGCCACAGCAAAGCCAGAUCCAAGCUGCAUCUGUGACCUAUACCACAGCCCAUGGCAAUGCCAGAUCCUUAACCCACUAAGCGAAACCAUGGAUCAAACUUGCACCCUCAUGGAUACUAGUUGGGUUUGUAACCCACUAAGCCAUGAUGGGAACUCCAAAAAUCAUAAAAUGUUUAAGAACAGACAUAUAGUAUUUUUUUUUUUUAAGGCUGAAUUUCACUCAGUUACAGAUCAGCUCUCAAUGUACAAGAGACUUUCUAACAGGACCUGAUUUGGGGAAAGAGCAUGUUAUUCUCAUACACACAUUCCCCUCCCACCCACUUAAGACGCACUUCAGAUCCAGGGUGAGUACAAGAGACAAAAAGUGGUCAGGAGAGCAAUAGAAAGGUGUUCCAGGAUAGAGGGCCUCAGCCAGAGAGAAAAUAUAUCUAUGGCUUUGCCAGCCCUGCGCUCCCUGUCACCACUACUCCACUCUGCAGUGCAGCCCCGAGCAGGCACACAUGACAGACGGGUGAGGGUUCCAAUAAAACCAUCCACCAAAAUAGGCAGUGGGCGUAGUCUUGGCUGCAGCUUGCCAACCCCUGUCCUAGUAGGGUCUGAACUUACCUGAAAGAAGGAAAAUAGAAAAAAACCAGCCCUGAAUCCCACUGCCCAUGCCUGGCUCACCCCAAAAGCUCGCCGCCUCUGCCCCCUGGCCUUUAGUUGGUGUCUUUCCUUUCCUUGUUCUGACUCUGCCCUUCCAGUGGUAGACUGGGUCUUGUCACAGCACCUAGACACUUCUUCAAGCUCCAGCCACAGGGCUGGAACACACAUCUGUUUUUCUAACUAUGGGAUGAACGUGGGUUCUCCCACCCACUGGGAAGCACAGGAGGCAGGGAUUGUGUGGGACUUGUUCUUUGUGGAUCCUCAGGGCCAAGCACAUAGUAAGAGCUCAGUGAAUGAAACCAGCGUAUGAAGGUCCAAGUGCACCCACUGUACCUUCGCCUGAAUGUUUGGGGGGCUCCUCCUAGAAGUGAGUCAGGGAGUGGGGUGGCGUCCAAUGCAUCCGCAUUGCCUCAAUGCCAUGGGGAGAGGCCAGGCUGGUGCUCACCCUAUGUACUUAUUUCUGAUUAGGAAGGAUUUGUUGCCCGGGGUGGCUAUGGGGGUGGUUAACCUGCAGAAAAGAUAAGUGCCCGUACUAGCCCACCUGGAGGGGGGUUGAAUUCCAGUAAUCACGGGACUGCUGGUAUCAGCACUAAGAUUGUCUGGCAGAGAUGCUGAGGGUCAGAGGCUAUGUUCUGGACACAUCAUCUCAUUGGGGGUAGAAACAAUUAUGAUCCCCGUUUUCCCAGGGAAUGUAACCGGGGUUCUCCACAGUUACUGUCCCCAGGUCACAUCUCAAUAAAGGCCCGGGGUGUGAUCACAGACUUAACUGACUUCAAAGCCAAUUCCUAAUCACUCUGUCAAUUCCACUGGAUGGGCUGAUUGCAUAUAGUUCCAUUUUAUAGCAUUGCCUGGGCAGACCUGGAGUUGUCCAGGUUGUUGACUUCAGGGUUGGCAGGGGACAACCAAUCUUAUACUUGCACACUAGGCAUCUUGCCAGAAGUCUGGCCAGUUUUUGACCUGGACACAGAUCACGCUGCUUCUGCUCCAUGGAAUAGUCCAGAAGCCUAUGGCUCCCUCUCCAAGCAAAGCCCGUGACAUAGCCCGGCCCAGCUUUCCCCACCCCAUCCAUGCUCCCCUAGACAGCCAACCUCGAUUCUGCCUUCCAGGCCUGAUCUGUGCUGGCGUCCAGGCCCGCUGAUUUUCCUGCCUCCCCAUGAUUAGGAAUUAAUCUUAUAUUUUUGUUCCCCAACCCAUAAAUCAGUUACAGACCAAAUAUUUACACAGGCCAUCAUUUCCGACUGAACCAAUGACAGCCCUCAUUAUUAAAAAGGAUGACUGAUUUUGGGCAGAGAUUUCACCGGUAUGUGGCUGGAUGUUUUCUUUUAGCUUUCCUUCCCCCCUCCCCUUGCCUGAAGAGAAGACAAUUUCCAAGAUAAAUUGGUACCAAGGUCUGCUUUUGCUGUCUCCCUGGACCAGCAGGACAUGGGCAGGCUUCCAUCAGCCCAAAAAGUGAUGGCCGGGGUUGGUAUGGGAAUCACUUAACUGAACAUCCCUUAAAAUCAGGAACCCUAAAGAAGGGAGGGGUGGAUGGGGCCAGGAAAGGGAAACUCAGCAGCAUCACCUCCUCAGUCAUGACACCCACCCUACAGGAGUGAUGUGACCUGUCCAGGGUGACCCCGAGGGAGGCCAUGUGCUAAGUGGUAAUAUCACUGGGUGCGGAAGCAGAAGACUGAGUUUCUGACUCGGCUCUGUCAUUCCUUAGCAAGUCACCAUGGCCUCUGAGACUGGUUUCCUUCCCUGCCAAAGCAGGGAUUCACUCUGUGGUACUCUGUCCCUUGUGACAGGUACCUGUGACAGCUGCCUUACUAUGAGCCUGGCCUUGUGCUAAGCAUCUUAUAGGCAUUAGCUCAUUUUAGUCUUUACAAUGGGGACCAUCAUCUCCAGAUGAAGCAACAGAGGGUCAGAGAGGCUAAGCCACUCACCUGAGGUCACACAGCACAUAAGGGGCAGAGGCCAGGAUUUGAAAUCGUUUCUGCCUGACCUCAGUGCUCUUGGUCCUAACAUAUACUACAGCCUCCCUAAGACCUGAAUUUGCUUGGGCAUGUAACACACCACCAUGUGGAUUCUAAGCACCCUGGUAUCUCCAUGUGAAAGCCCCUAGGGUCAGCAUCCUAGGCAAAGGCAGAACUGACGACUGUCUGCCAGGUGGUGAGCCAGCAGAAAGCCUUCUCUCUGCAAAGCCAGAGGUCAGCUGGAAAGGUUUCUGCAGGGAAACUGUGAGUAUUUUGCCACUUAGGGAACACUUCAUAGAAGCUUUAUGUACCCUGGGAACAAUUAAUUGAGUGCGAAUCUUUACAGACAUGCCUAAAAAGCACAUAUUUCAAUCUGGUACUUCUACAAGAUACACACUGCUAUGUGUCCAUCACAGCCUGGAAGACAGACAGCAGCCUCUGCCAGCGCUAGAGGGCUUGGGAGGGCUUCAGACAGCGAUGGGGCUGGCUGGGCUCUCGGGGCCGGCCGCUUAACCUCCCGAGGCUCCCAGCUUCUUCACUUGCAAAAUGAGAGCUUAAAGCAGAUCAUCCUGGAAAGCUCAUCCAUCCUCACUAAGAUGUUUCUGUGAUGCGGGCCCCUCUCCUCCAGACUUACGGUGUGACCUUGGGCAGGUCAGAAUCUGCGAGGCUUCAGAUCUUCUUAUUUAUGCCCUGGGUUAACCUCUCCAGACCCCCUGUCUGCCCCUGGCUUCUGUGGGGGCAGAUGAGUCAGCGUAAGCACAGUAAACCCUCAGCUGCGAUGAUCCCAGCAGUGCAGAAUUUCCAGUAAGUCAUGACUGCCCUGCAGUGACUCUGAGAAGAAAGUCGGAAACUCUUUUUCCAUGUGAGUUUGAAAACAGUGGCCUGCAAGCAGUGUUUUGUUUUGUUUUUCAAAUCAAGGCCUUCUACAUGCUCUCAGCUUUGGCAUCCAACAGUGACUUGUUAUCAUACAAAAUGUGUUCACUGGGGAUCAAGAACUGCAGAGGGCGGGCCCACUGGGAGAUAUAACUUAACGUGCUUGGCCACAUAAUUUUUUUCUGCUCAGCAGAACUCAGGUAUUUCAAUAUCUUAGCCAAUGGCCUGUGUGGCAUGUAGUGGACAUUUGAUUGUGACCCACUAGCACUCACCUUCCCCACCACCCUUUGGGGGAAUUCUCUCUCCUCUUUAAUGCCACUGAGCUGUACACCUAAAAAUGGUUAAAGGGACAAGUUUGAUGUUACAGAUAUUUUAUCAUAAUUUUUAAAAUAUAUUAGCAUUUUAAAAUGUGUUAGCAUCACCAACCUCUGCUGAUGUUUGGGGAGGAGGGUCCUGUGGAGGGAGGGAGAGAAAGAUACGCUUGGACAGGAAACUCCUUUUCUUUAAGGAGACCACAGGGAGGGCUGCUGAGAGUCAUGGUGCCAGUUCCUGAGCAAAGGAAGCUGAGCAUGGGGAGUGAAAGCUCACAGCCACCACUGCGAGAGGAACCAUCAACCAGCCCAGCCCAGGGCCCCUGCCUUCUCCACAGCAGCUACACAUCUUCUCUAGCUGUGCACUCUCCAGCUGCUCAGACCCAACUUCAUCAAAGAUGCAGGGCUCCCCAAGUACCAAAAAGCUAAUGCCAAGUUUAUGACCACUGGCAAAGGAGCCAUAAAACCCAGGCCCACUCAAGCACAUUGCGCUGCCACCUGCCACCUGCCACCCUGGGGAGGCUGCCAGGCCCCAGCUUGGGUUUCUUCGGGGUCCCUCUCCACCCAUGAUCAACACAUCAUCCGGCUCGUAAGAAAACCAGUGGGCAGUGAACCCUAUCAAGAGUGGAUGUCUCAGGAGGACAACUUGUACAAACUUUCAGAAGUGAUCGUGGCAAUGGCCAUCCUAGAAUAACCUGGGCUGCCCUCACAGCUAGGUUUCACAGUAGAUGCCAAGAAAAAUCCAGAUUUGGAGUCGAGCUUCGAACGUGCUUCCCUGCACUUUGGAUUUCUCUUUUGUAAGAAGGGAUGACCUACAUCCUAGCAUUGUUGGGGGCAGUAAGUAUCAUGAAGCUACUUGGGGUGUGGGCUCAGAGGUCGAAAUGGGAUUCAGCUCUGCAGUCAAGGGACCGAACUGGGUUAGAUGGCACCAUUCCCCCAAAGGACCCCUUUGGUUCCAAUCCUCUCUGAGAUUAGCUAGCUUGGCAAUUCAUGAGUCAUUCUAGACAUCCAAGGACAUCCAUGACCAUCCCUUGCCAGGUCCAGUUGAUGUCAAGAAAACACCUAAGAAACAACCUGGGAGGUCACCCUGCACAGCUCAGCCUCCACACCUGCAAAAUGGGAUGAAUAGUAGUCCCUGGGUUACAUCAAAGGUUUUCUGAGACGGCACAUGUCUAGCUGGGCUCCUCAGCCUUGUACAUCUCAUGGUACACACAGAGAGGGACACAACUUGUGCACUGGGGCAGACAGAUGAGGGAGCCCCGGAGGCCCCAGGCACCCAGGGGAUGGAACUGGUCAAUAUUUCAGUGCACCUUUAAGCAUUUUGCAGGGCACUGGUUGGGAAGCUCCACUGAAAGCACAGGCAUGGACAACAAACACAGCUGCUUCCCUCCUGCCAUGAUGGGGGAUCCUAUGUGCUUCUUCUCCUCACAGGCCCGCAGGCUUGAGCUCUUUAUUUCCAAGUCCAAUUUGGUUUUAUUGUAAAAUAAGCCUGUAUAGUUUCAAAAUGUCAAAAACAGCAGCAAAAGGAACCUAAUGAAAAAUAAAGUCCCCCUCUAGAGGACUUCUGGAGAGCUGAUAAUGUUCAGAUCCUUGAUCUGGGUGCUGGUUGCACAGAUGAGCUUAUAUGAUGAAAAUUCAGGAGGUAUAUACUUCCUAGCAUGUGUUUUUCUCUAUAUACGUGAGACUUCAAUAAAAACUUUAAAUAUCCCUCUGUUGUGAGUAGAAUUGAGCUCCCCUCCUCUAAGCCAGUAACUCAGCUUGUGACCUUAUUGGCAAAUAGGACUGUGGCAGACGUAAUUAGUUACAUUUAGAUGAGGUCAUACUAGAGUAGGGUGGGCCUCUAACCCAAAAAGAUCGGUGUCCUUAUAAAAUGGGGAAAUCUGGACACGGAUACACGAGAUGAAUGAAGAGGCAUGGGGAGACUGCCAGGUGAAGAUGGAGGCAGAGAUCAAGUGAUGCUCCUACAGGCCAAAGGUUGUCAGCAAACUACCAGAAGCCAGAGGAGAGGCUGGAACAGACUCUUCCUCCUGAAGGAACCAGCACUGCCGACACUUUGAUUCUGGACUUCUAGUCUCCAGACCCGAGAGACCAUAAAUUUCUGUCAUUUACACCACCCUGUUUACAGACCUUUGCUAUUGGGACAUUAAUAUACCCCCACUGUCUCUUUCUCUAAUUCUCAAUCAAGCUCCUGAGAGGUCCCCGUGGGACCUCUUAACAGUGGCUAAGGGCUGUUUGUGUGUGCUCCUAGAGAAUUCAUUUUAAUCACUAUAUUCAUAAUCCUUUCUUUUUUUCCAGCCAUGCUCGCAGCAUAUGGAAGUUCCCAGGUCAGGGGGUCAAAAUGGCACCACAGUUAUGACCUGCGCCACAGCUAUGGCAAUGCCAGAUCCUUAACCUGUUGUGCCACUAGAGAACAUCCUGUCAUCCUUUCUUAGUCUUGUCCACG
rnacentral:lncRNA from 1 species